GGAUGAUGCCGCAUGACCAUAUAUCCACCUUAGCUCCGUUGUAUCCUUUCUUCUCGAGGAUUUCAGGAGCUACAUAUGCCGGAGUGCCGCAUAACGUAUGGAGGAAUCCAUCGGGUCGGAUCUGAUCCGUCACUGCACUGAGCCCAAAAUCGGUGACCUUGAGAUCCCAAUUCUCAUCGAGCAACAGAUUCUCCAGUUUCAGAUCUCGAUGAUACACACCACGAGAAUGAC
rnacentral:misc_RNA from 1 species